CUUUGGUCUAUCCCGUUUGAUAAGUAGAGUUAAAACUGAGAAUUCAGGCUUCUCAAAAUUGAGAGGAACCAGAGGUUACCUGGCCCCUGAGUGGAUUUUCAAUCUACCCAUCACCUCUAAAGUGGAUGUCUAUAGCUAUGGAAUUGUUGUGCUGGAAAUGGUAACAGGAAAGAACCCGGCAAUGGAUGUUGAAUAUGUUGACAAUGGUGAGAAUGUGGAGCAAAAAGGUUUAGUAGCAUGGGUGAGGGAGAAAAAGUCUGGAGCAGCUGCAAAGGAAUCCUGGGUU
rnacentral:misc_RNA from 1 species